GCAGACACAUUCCAGCCAAUCAGCAGCAGACCCUCCCUCCCACACCCUCCCACCUCCUGGACAGCAUCCAUUUUGAAGCUGCAUUCUUAGUGAGCUGUCCAGGAGGUGGGAGGGUCUGGGAGGGAGGGUCUGCUGCUGAUUGGCUGGAAUGUGUCUG